AUGAACGCUGGCGGCGUGCCUAAUACCUGCCAGUCGAGCGAACGGACGAGAAGCUUGCUUCUCUGAUGUUAGCGGCGGACGGGUGAGUAACACGUGGAUAACCUACCUAUAAGACUGGGAUAACUUCGGGAAACCGGAGCUAAUACCGGAUAAUAUUUUGAACCGCAUGGUUCAAAAGUGAAAGACGGUCUUGCUGUCACUUAUAGAUGGAUCCGCGCUGCAUUAGCUAGUUGGUAAGGUGACGGCUUACCAAGGCAACGAUGCAUAGCCGACCUGAGAGGGUGAUCGGCCACACUGGAACUGAGACACGGUCCAGACUCCUACGGGAGGCAGCAGUAGGGAAUCUUCCGCAAUGGGCGAAAGCCUGACGGAGCAACGCCGCGUGAGUGAUGAAGGUCUUCGGAUCGUAAAACUCUGUUAUUAGGGAAGAACAUAUGUGUAAGUAACUGUGCACAUCUUGACGGUACCUAAUCAGAAAGCCACGGCUAACUACGUG
rnacentral:rRNA from 1 species